GAGAGAGACUCCAUACCCCUAAAGUAUCAAACCGUCCAAUUCCCCGCUCGCCACUCGCUGUGUUUUUUCAGCGCCAGUGUAAAAGAACGAUGACACAUUCUGACAGCUACAGCAUUCGGACCGGCUGGGCGAAUGUCAAACCACUGAAGAUGACUUUCACUGCAUGAACCGCCGGCCUGAUGCUGUUCGUCUGCAGCAGAGCCGUGCAACUGUGGUUCCAGCAUGAGGUCGCGACCCCGCAGAGUGCUGGGAGCUUGGAAACCCAGAGCAGAACUGCUUACAAAUCACUAAUUAGCACAGGAGGCGGUCAGCAGCGGGUCUGGGGGGCUGUGAGGUGUGUCAGCGAGUCUGGAUCCACAUGUCCCGUAAAUCCCUGCUGCUUUCAUGUGUGUGCUUCAAAUCCUAUCCGCCUGGAGAGUUUGACACAGAGCCAAUUAAUGCAGAAGCAGCAGAAGCGCAGCGGUCCAAACACACAUCCCUCCAAAUCCUCUCCACCCAUCUCAGCUCAUCUCUCUC
rnacentral:lncRNA from 1 species